rnacentral:rRNA from 1 species
UACGGGGGGGAGCAAGCGUUGUUCGGAUUUACUGGGCGUAAAGGGCGCGUAGGCGGCGUGACAAGUCACUUGUGAAAUCUCCGGGCUUAACUCGGAACGGUCAAGUGAUACUGUCGUGCUAGAGUACAGAAGGGGCAACUGGAAUUCUCGGUGUAGCGGUGAAAUGCGCAGAUAUCAGGAGGAACACCAGCGGCGAAGGCGGCGCUCUGGGCCGGUACUGACGCUGAGGAGCGAAAGCGUGGGUAGCAAACAGG